CCUACGGGAGGCAGCAGUGGGGAAUAUUGCACAAUGGGGGGAACCCUGAUGCAGCGACGCCGCGUGGGUGAAGGAGCACCUCGGUGCGUAAAGCCCUAUCGGCAGGGAAGAAAAGCGAACAGGUUCGCCUGGAAGGUACCUGACUAAGAAGCCCCGGCUAACUACGUGCAAGCAGCAGCGGUAAUACGUAGGGGGCAAGCGUUAUCCGGAUUCACUGGGUGUAAAGGGAGCGUAGACGGCGGCGCAAGUCUGGAGUGAAAGCCCGGGGCCCAACCCCGGGACUGCUCUGGAAACUGCGGGGCUGGAGUACGGGAGAGGCAGGCGGAAUUCCUGGUGUAGCGGUGAAAUGCGUAGAUAUCAGGAGGAACACCGGCGGCGAAGGCGGCCUGCUGGACCGUGACUGACGUUGAGGCUCGAGAGCGUGGGGAGCAAACAGGAUUAGAUACCCCGGUAGUC
rnacentral:rRNA from 1 species